rnacentral:rRNA from 1 species
ACUCCUACGGGAGGCAGCAGUGGGGAAUAUUGGACAAUGGGCGCAAGCCUGAUCCAGCCAUGCCGCGUGAGUGAUGAAGGCCCUAGGGUUGUAAAGCUCUUUCACCGGUGAAGAUAAUGACGGUAACCGGAGAAGAAGCCCCGGCUAACUUCGUGCCAGCAGCCGCGGUAAUACGAAGGGGGCUAGCGUUGUUCGGAUUUACUGGGCGUAAAGCGCACGUAGGCGGACUAUUAAGUCAGGGGUGAAAUCCCGGGGCUCAACCCCGGAACUGCCUUUGAUACUGGUAGUCUUGAGUUCGAGAGAGGUGAGUGGAAUUCCGAGUGUAGAGGUGAAAUUCGUAGAUAUUCGGAGGAACACCAGUGGCGAAGGCGGCUCACUGGCUCGAUACUGACGCUGAGGUGCGAAAGCGUGGGGAGCAAACAGGAUUAGAAACCCCUGUAGUCCCAU